rnacentral:rRNA from 1 species
AUUGAACGCUGGCGGCAGGCCUAACACAUGCAAGUCGAACGGUAACAGGAAACAGCUUGCUGUUUCGCUGACGAGUGGCGGACGGGUGAGUAAUGUCUGGGAAACUGCCUGAUGGAGGGGGAUAACUACUGGAAACGGUAGCUAAUACCGCAUAACGUCGCAAGACCAAAGAGGGGGACCUUCGGGCCUCCUGCCAUCGGAUGGGCCCAGAUGGGAUUAGCUAGUAGGUGGGGUAACGGCUCACCUAGGCGACGAUCCCUAGCUGGUCUGAGAGGAUGACCAGCCACACUGGAACUGAGACACGGUCCAGACUCCUACGGGAGGCAGCAGUGGGGAAUAUUGCACAAUGGGCGCAAGCCUGAUGCAGCCAUGUCGCGUGUAUGAAGAAGGCCUUCGGGUUGUAAAGUACUUUCAGCGGGGAGGAAGGGAGUAAAGUUAAUACCUUUGCUCAUUGACGUUACCCGCAGAAGAAGCACCGGCUAACUCCGUGCCAGCCGCCGCUGUAA